UUUUUUUUUAUUUGAUGAAAAAGUAAACAAGGUUGAAUGGUUGUUGUGAUACAAAUAUUUCAAAGUGAUAAUAGAAAAACUUCAAAGUUUAAAGUGCGAGAAAAUGUCAUUUUCAAAAAAAAUUAUGCGAUUUUUUCAAUCUUUAACCAAAUGGUCUAUGCAUAUAUUUUUGUUUGAUUUGGGUUAGUUUGGGUUUAGUUUGAUUUGAUUUGAGUUUUUUUCUUUGCCCACUCCUAAAUUUAUCGUGAUAUUUGCAUUUGGUUCAUUUAUUAUCCAUCUUGAAUCUCUCACUACUCAAUACAAAAAAGAUUUUGGUGCUCUAUCUUACUAUCUGUGUAGUUAAUUUAUCAACUAAUCUCCUACAUUCUGAAUGCCUUAAUUUGUAUCAUCCUGAAGAUACUGGAAUGAAAUGUUAACCAGACACUUGUGGUCUGGUGG
rnacentral:lncRNA from 1 species